rnacentral:rRNA from 1 species
UGAGGAAUAUUGGUCAAUGGGCGAGAGCCUGAACCAGCCACGUCGCGUGAAGGAAGACUGACCUUACGGUUUGUAAACUUCUUUUGUAGAGGGGUAAUGGCAGAUACGUGUAUUUGCGUGAAAGUACUCUACGAAUAAGCAUCGGCUAACUCCGUGCCAGCAGCCGCGGUAAUACGGGGGAUGCGAGCGUUAUCCGGAUUUAUUGGGUUUAAAGGGAGCGUAGGCCGUUUGGUAAGCGUGUUGUGAAAUGUAGGAGCUCAACUUCUAGAUUGCAGCGCGAACUGUCAGACUUGAGUGCGCACAACGUAGGCGGAAUUCAUGGUGUAGCGGUGAAAUGCUUAGAUAUCAUGAAGAACUCCGAUUGCGAAGGCAGCUUACGGGAGCGCAACUGACGCUGAAGCUCGAAGGUGCGGGUAUCGAACAGG